UACAGAGGGUGCGAGCGUUAAUCGGAAUUACUGGGCGUAAAGCGUGCGUAGACGGUUGUGUAAGUCAGAUGUGAAAGCCCCGGGCUCAACCUGGGAAUUGCAUUUGAGACUGUGCAGCUAGGGUGCGGAAGAGGAAGCGGAAUUUCCGGUGUAGCGGUGAAAUGCGUAGAUAUCGGAAGGAACACCAGUGGCGAAAGCGGCUUCCUGGUCCAGCACCGACGUUCAGGCACGAAAGCGUGGGAGCAAACAGG
rnacentral:rRNA from 1 species